CCUACGGGUGGCAGCAGUGGGGAAUAUUGCACAAUGGGGGAAACUCUGAAGCAGCAACGCAGCGUGAGGGAUGACGGCCUUAGGGUUGUAAAGCUCUGUCUUCAGGGAAGAUAAUGACGGUACCUGAGGAGGAAGCCACGGCUAACUACGUGCCGGCAGCCUCGGUAAUACGUAGGUGGCGAGCGUUGUCCGGAUUUACUGGGCGUAAAGGGAGCGUAGGCGGACUUUUAAGUGAGAUGUUAAAUACUCGGGCUCAACUUGAGUUCUGCAGUUCAAACUGGAAGUCUAGAGUGCAGGAGAGGAGAAUGGAAUUCCUAGUGUAGCGGUGAAAUGCGUAGAGAUUAGGAAGAACACCAGUGGCGAAGGCGAUUCUCUAGACUGUAACUGACGCUGAGGCUCGAAAGCGUGGGGAGCAAAUAGGAUUAGAUACCCGUGUAGUC
rnacentral:rRNA from 1 species